UAUCGCUCGCCAGUCGGUCGAUUAAAUCGCGUUUUGCAUUUUGGACAGUAGAUUUUUUACUUAUAUUGUAUACUGCGGAGUUCCUGGUUUGAUGUAUCUAGUUCUAAACGGCAAAGUUGUCUCUAUCCGAUCUCUCUGAUAGUUUGUUGAUCGUAACCUCUUGAUGUUGAUUUUAUUGUGAAGUGAAUGUUGAUGUUUGUGACUUCGUCACUUGACAUCACUAGAACUGCGAUCUUUGAAGAUACAAGAAAUGUCGUCCGAGGACAUACCACUCGGUCUUAAACAGCUCGGCGGAAUGAGCGAAUUCUGCGUCCGUCAAAAAGUGACGCACUUCGCCAACAAUAAAUACGUUGUCACGACACCAGAGGGCAGCCCUGUGCUGUUCGCCCGCGAGGACUCCGGCUUGGUAGACCGGCUGCUGAUGGGCAC